AAGUAGUGGUGCGGAUAUCAGAAAUGUACGUGUAAACCUCGGUUCUCUGUUACGUUUCCAUCCAUACAAUCUUCCGCCUUCGCGUCCACCAUUCUCCAAUCUUCACUCCCAUAACUAGGGUUUCAUAUCUCCAUUAAAAACCGGAGAAAGAAAGCACCAAUUUGACUUUCAGGGUCAGGGCUAGGGUUUCUUUAACUCUCUGCUACUCCACUGCUUCUGCAUUUACUGUUCAUCCAUGUCUCUUUUAAGGCGCAGGAAGCCAUUGGAAAGCGAGAAAGCUUCAGUUCCAGAGAAGCCCUCUGUGAGCGACACGAGUAAGAAACCUGAUGCCAAGCCUGACAUUAAAGAUGAGAAGAAGAAGCACAGUAAAGGGCGGUGGUCUUGUAUAGAUGGUUGUUGCUGGUUUAUUGGGUGCAUUUGCUGUAUAUGGUGGUUCCUUCUGUUUCUCUUCAAUGCGAUGCCCGCUUCUUUUCCCCAGUAUGUCACAGAGGCCAUUACAGGGCCAUUGCCUGAUCCACCUGGUGUGAAGUUGCAGAAAGAGGGGCUCACUGCUAAGCACCCUGUGGUUUUUGUACCCGGGAUUGUUACAGGUGGGCUCGAGCUUUGGGAGGGUCACCCUUGUGCUGAUGGUCUUUUCAGGAAGCGCUUAUGGGGUGGAACCUUUGGAGAAGUGUAUAAAAGACCUUUAUGCUGGGUUGAACAUAUGUCACUGGACAAUGAAACGGGAUUGGACCCUCCCGGUAUAAGAGUCAGACCUGUUCCAGGACUUGUUGCGGCUGAUUACUUUGCUCCAGGCUAUUUUGUGUGGGCAGUUUUGAUUGCAAAUUUGGCAAGAAUUGGGUAUGAGGAGAAAACGAUGUAUAUGGCUGCAUAUGAUUGGAGACUUUCUUUUCAGAAUACUGAAGUGCGUGAUCAAACCCUCAGCAGAAUUAAAAGUAAUAUUGAACUUAUGGUAUCAACAAAUGGUGGCAAAAAGGUGGUUGUUAUUCCACACUCAAUGGGGGUACUUUAUUUUUUGCACUUCAUGAAGUGGGUAGAGGCACCAGCUCCAAUGGGUGGUGGAGGUGGUUCUGAUUGGUGUGCCAAGCACAUAAAGGCUGUAAUGAACAUUGGAGCACCUUUUCUUGGUGUUCCAAAAGCAGUCACUGGGUUGUUCUCCGCGGAAGCCAAGGAUGUCGCUGUUGCCAGAGCAAUUGCACCUGGCGUAUUGGACUCUGAACUAUUUGGGCUUCAAACCCUACAACAUGUCAUGCGUAUGACACGCACAUGGGAUUCAACCAUGUCAAUGAUACCCAAAGGCGGUGAGACUAUUUGGGGUGAUAUAGACUGGGCUCCAGAACAAGGUUAUGAUUGUUCUAAUAAGAAGCAGAAAGGGAAUGAAACUCAAGCUGGGGGCACAAUUAAUGUAGAUUCACUGGAUGACAAAUCCUAUGGAGUCCAUUAUGGAAGGAUUAUUUCAUUUGGAAAAGACAUAGCAGAGGCACAUUCCUCGAAGAUUGAGAGGAAGGAUUUCAAGGAAGCUGUCAAAGACAACAACCUUGGCCAUUCAAAUGUUUCCUGUGGUGAUGUGUGGACUGAGUACCAAGAGAUGACUUGGGAUAGUGUCAAAGCAGUCGCUGAUUACAAAGUUUACACAGCUGGAUCUCUCUUAGACUUGCUACAUUUUGUGGCUCCAAAGAUGAUGCAACGUGGUGAUGCCCAUUUUUCAUAUGGGAUCGCAGACAAUUUGGAUGAUCCAAAAUACGAAAACUACAAAUAUUGGUCCAACCCUUUAGAAACAAAGUUGCCCAAUGCUCCUGAAAUGGAGAUAUAUUCGAUGUAUGGCGUGGGAAUCCCCACCGAAAGAUCUUAUGUUUACAAAUUGUCCCCCUUGGCUGAUACAUGCUUCAUUCCCUUCCGUAUUGAUACCUCAGCUGAAGGUGGUGACACUGGAAGCUGUUUAAAAGGUGGUGUACAUUCUGUUAAUGGAGAUGAGACGGUGCCAGUUUUGAGUGCUGGAUUUAUGUGUGCUCGAGGUUGGCGUGGAAAAACCAGGUUCAAUCCUGCAGGCAUUUCAACUUACAUAAGGGAGUAUGAUCAUGCCCCUCCUGCCAAUCUCCUUGAGGGCCGUGGGACCCAAAGUGGUGCUCAUGUUGAUAUCAUGGGAAACUUUGCUUUGAUUGAAGAUAUAAUUAGGGUGGCUGCAGGGGCUACUGGAGAAGACAUUGGAGGAGAUCAAGUUCAUUCUGAUAUCUUCAAGUGGUCUGAGAGCAUAAAGUUAAAGCUAUGAGUCAUACAGCAAGAUCUGCUUCUAGGCAGACAAUUGGGUCCGAAGCUUGUGAAGAAGGUUAUAUAAGGCUUCAAUCGUAUCCUCGAUAUCAGCUGUAGCGAUCCGAUUUGGAGAACACAAGCUCAAACUGGACAUAUAUUCUGUGUUCUUUUGAGGUAUAUGGAGCCAGGAUCCAUUUUAUCUUCUAAAACAAUGCCGGUUCUUUAGUCAUCUCCUCCUGACCUGCCAUUAAUUAAAUGUAAAUUAACAUCGAGCAAAAGAAGCAUGUCACUCCAUUUGUUAUAAGAAAAAAGGUAUGUUAAAAUCGGUACAUUGAUUGUACCAAUUUUUUUAUUUC